rnacentral:rRNA from 1 species
UACAGAGGUCUCAAGCGUUGCUCGGAUUUAUUGGGCGUAAAGGGUGCGUAGGUGGUACCGAAAGUUAGGUGUGAAAGUUCGAGGCUCAACCUCGAAAUUGCACCUAAUACUCCGGUGCUCGAGUCUCAUAGAGGAAUCUGGAAUUCACGGUGUAGCAGUGAAAUGCGUAGAUAUCAGGAAGAACACCCGUGGCUAAGGCGGCUCUCUAGUACGGUACUGACGCUGAGACGCGAAAGCGUGGGGAGCGAACAGG